rnacentral:rRNA from 1 species
CCUACGGGUGGCUGCAGUGGGGAAUAUUGGACAAUGGGGGGAACCCUGAUCCAGCCAUGCCGCGUGUGUGAAGAAGGCCCUCGUGUGGUAAAGCACUUUCAGUGAGGAAGAACGCCUGGUGGUUAAUACCCAUCAGGAAAGACAUCACUCACAGAAGAAGCACCGGCUAACUCCGUGCCAGCAGCCGCGGUAAUACGGAGGGUGCGAGCGUUAAUCGGAAUUACUGGGCGUAAAGCGCGCGUAGGUGGCUUGAUAAGCCGGUUGUGAAAGCCCCGGGCUCAACCUGGGAACGGCAUCCGGAACUGUCAAGCUAGAGUGCAGGAGAGGAAGGUAGAAUUCCCGGUGUAGCGGUGAAAUGCGUAGAGAUCGGGAGGAAUACCAGUGGCGAAGGCGGCCUUCUGGACUGACACUGACACUGAGGUGCGAAAGCGUGGGUAGCAAACAGGAUUAGAUACCCCAGUAGUC